UGAGAUCUCCAUCACCUUGAGCCC
rnacentral:piRNA from 1 species